rnacentral:rRNA from 1 species
AACGAACGCUGGCGGCAGGCCUAACACAUGCAAGUCGAACGCCCUGGCAACAGGGAGUGGCAGACGGGUGAGUAACGCGUGGGAACGUGCCCUUCGGUUCGGAAUAACUCAGGGAAACUUGAGCUAAUACCGGAUACGUGCGAGAGCAGAAAGAUUUAUCGCCGAAGGAUCGGCCCGCGUCCGAUUAGCUAGUUGGGGAGGUAAUGGCUCACCAAGGCGACGAUCGGUAGCUGGUCUGAGAGGAUGACCAGCCACACUGGGACUGAGACACGGCCCAGACUCCUCCGGGAGGCAGCAGUGGGGAAUAUUGGACAAUGGGCGCAAGCCUGAUCCAGCCAUGCCGCGUGAGUGAUGAAGGCCCUAGGGUUGUAAAGCUCUUUCACCAGGGACGAUAAUGACGGUACCUGGAUAAGAAGCCCCGGCUAACUUCGUGCCAGCCGCCGCAGUAA